AUAAUAAAUUGUUUUUUAAUUAAAAACUAGAAUGAAUGAUUGGACGAGAAAUUACCUGUCUCAUAAUUAAUUGUAAUUUGAAUUUAAUUUUUAAGUUAAAAAUCUUAAAUAUAAUUGAAGGACGAGAAGACCCUAUAGAAUUUUAUAGUUAAAUUACUUUUUUAAAAAAAAUAAUUUUUAUAGUAAUAAAUUAUUAUAUUGGGGGGAUAAAAAAAUUAAUUAAAUUUUUUUUUUAUAAAAACAAUGAUUAUU
rnacentral:rRNA from 1 species